AUCGCCUCCUGAACACUUUAUAUAGGAGGUCCCGCCUGCCCUGUGAUAAUAAUUUAACGGCCGCGGUAUUUUGACCGUGCAAAGGUAGCGCAAUCACUUGUCUUUUAAAUGAAGACCUGUAUGAAUGGCACAACGAGGGCUUAACUGUCUCCCUCUUUCGAUCAAUGAAAUUGAUUUCUCCGUGCAGAAGCGGGGGUACACCCAUAAGACGAGAAGACCCUGUGGAGCUUUAGACAAUAAAUAGACCCUGUAAAGGCCCCCUCACAAAAAGAGGCUAAACAAAAGGUAGACUAUUUUGAUGUCUUUGGUUGGGGCGACCGCGGGGGAGCACAAAUCCCCCAUGUGGAAAAAGAAUAAAUUUCUUUAAGCUAAGAGUGUUAACUCAAAGAACCAGAAUAUCUGACUUAAGAUGAUCCGGCAGAGCCGAUCAACAGAAUCAGUUACCCCAGGGAUAACAGCGCAAUCCUCUCCCAGAGCCCAUAUCGACGAGAGGGUUUACGACCUCGAUGUUGGAUCAGGAUAUCCUAGUGGUGCAGCCGCUAUUAAGGGUUCGUUUGUUCAACGAUUAAAAUCCUACGUGAUCUGAGUUCAGACCGGA
rnacentral:rRNA from 1 species